rnacentral:rRNA from 1 species
GACGAACGCUGGCGGCGUGCUUAACACAUGCAAGUCGAACGGAAAGGCCCUGCUUUUGUGGGGUGCUCGAGUGGCGAACGGGUGAGUAACACGUGAGUAACCUGCCCUUGACUUUGGGAUAACUUCGGGAAACUGGGGCUAAUACCGGAUAGGAGCUCCUGCUGCAUGGUGGGGGUUGGAAAGUUUCGGCGGUUGGGGAUGGACUCGCGGCUUAUCAGCUUGUUGGUGGGGUAGUGGCUUACCAAGGCUUUGACGGGUAGCCGGCCUGAGAGGGUGACCGGCCACAUUGGGACUGAGAUACGGCCCAGACUCCUACGGGAGGCAGCAGCGGGGAAUAUUGCACAAUGGGCGGAAGCCUGAUGCAGCAACGCCGCGUGCGGGAUGACGGCCUUCGGGUUGUAAACCGCUUUCGCCUGUGACGAAGCGUGAGUGACGGUAAUGGGUAAAGAAGCACCGGCUAACUACGUG